rnacentral:misc_RNA from 1 species
UCCGGUUUGGCACCGGCAGUCCCCCGAGAGUCCUCAGCGUUUUGCAACCUGUUAGCAACACGGGGCGGGGGUUGCGCUCGUUGCGGGACUUAACCCAACAUCUCACGACACGAGCUGACGACAGCCAUGCAGCACCUGUGGAGGAGCUCCGAAGAGGGGUCGCUGUUUCCAGCAACUUUCCCCUGCAUGUCAAGCCUAGGUAAGGUUCUGCGCGUUGCGUCGAAUUAAACCACAUGCUCCACCGCUUGUGCGGGCCCCCGUCAAUUCCUUUGAGUUUCAGCCUUGCGGCCGUACUCCCCAGGCGGGGCACUUAAUGCGUUAGCGUCGGCACUCAGAGGGUCGCUCCCCCAAGCACCUAGUGCCCAUCGUUUACGGUUAGGACUAC